rnacentral:tRNA from 1 species
CCUAGUGUGGCAGAUUAGUGCAAUAAAUUCAGGUUUUAUGAAUGGGUCAUUCCCGCUAGGU